rnacentral:rRNA from 1 species
UACGGAGGGUGCAAGCGUUAUCCGGAUUCACUGGGUUUAAAGGGUGCGUAGGAGGGCAGGUAAGUCAGUGGUGAAAUCUCCGAGCUUAACUUGGAAACUGCCAUUGAUACUAUCUGUCUUGAAUAUUGUGGAGGUGAGCGGAAUAUGUCAUGUAGCGGUGAAAUGCUUAGAUAUGACAUAGAACACCAAUUGCGAAGGCAGCUCGCUACACAAAUAUUGACUCUGAGGCACGAAAGCGUGGGGAUCAAACAGG